rnacentral:rRNA from 1 species
GCGGUUAGUGGCGGACUGGUGAGUAACACGUAAGCAACCUGCCUAUCAGAGGGGAACAACAGUUAGAAAUGACUGCUAAUACCGCAUAUGCCUUAGUAUCGCAUGAUACAAAAGGGAAAGGAGCAAUCCGCUGAUAGAUGGGCUUGCGUCUGAUUAGCUAGUUGGUGGGGUAAAGGCCUACCAAGGCGACGAUCAGUAGCCGGACUGAGAGGUUGAACGGCCACAUUGGGACUGAGAUACGGCCCAGACUCCUACGGGAGGCAGCAGUCGGGAAUAUUGCGCAAUGGAGGAAACUCUGACGCAGUGACGCCGCGUGCAGGAAGAAGGUUUUCGGAUUGUAAACUGCUUUAGACAGGGAAGAAACAAGACAGUACCUGUAGAAUAAGCUCCGGCUAACUACGUGCCAGCAGCCGCGGUAAUACGUAGGGAGCAAGCGUUAUCCGGAUUUAUUGGGUGUAAAGGGUGCGUAGACGGGAAGGCAAGUUGGUUGUGAAAUCCCUCGGCUUAACUGAGGAACUGCAACCAAAACUAUCUUUCUUGAGUGCUGGAGAGGAAAGUGGAAUUCCUAGUGUAGCGGUGAAAUGCGUAGAUAUUAGGAGGAACACCAGUGGCGAAAGCGACUUUCUGGACAGUAACUGACGUUGAGGCACGAAAGUGUGGGGAGCAAACAGGAUUAGAUACCCUGGUAGUCCACACCGUANACGAUGAAUACUCGCUGUUUGCGAUAUACAGUAAGCGGCCAAGCGAAAGCAUUAANUAUUCCACCUGGGGAGUA